UACGUAGGGGGCAAGCGUUGUCCGGAUUUAUUGGGCGUAAAGAGCUCGUAGGCGGUUCCGUGAGUCGGCUGUGAAAUCUCCACGCUCAACGUGGAGGGGUCAGUCGAUACUGCGGUGACUCGAGUCCGGUAGGGGAGUGUGGAAUUCCCGGUGUAGCGGUGAAAUGCGCAGAGAUCGGGAGGAACACCCGUAGCGAAGGCGGCACUCUGGGCCGGUAUUGACGCUGAGACGCGAAAGCGUGGGGAGCGAACAGG
rnacentral:rRNA from 1 species